rnacentral:rRNA from 1 species
CCUACGGGUGGCAGCAGUGGGGAAUAUUGCGCAAUGGGCGAAAGCCUGACGCAGCGACGCCGCGUGAGGGAUGAAGGUCUUCGGAUCGUAAACCUCUGUCAGCAGGGAAGAACGGUCACUGUGCUAAUCAGCAGUGAAUUGACGGUACCUGCAAAGGAAGCACCGGCUAACUCCGUGCCAGCAGCCGCGGUAAUACGGAGGGUGCGAGCGUUAAUCGGAAUUACUGGGCGUAAAGCGCUCGUAGGCGGUAUGUCAAGUCAAGGGUGAAAUCCCCGCGCUCAACGUGGGAACUGCCUUUGAAACUGGCAAACUGGAGUGUGGGAGAGGAGGGUGGAAUGCCAGGUGUAGGAGUGAAAUGCGUAGAUAUCUGGAGGAACAUCAGUGGCGAAGGCGACCAUCUGGCACAUAACUGACGCUGAGGAGCGAAAGCGUGGGUAGCAAACAGGAUUAGAUACCCGAGUAGUC